GUGCAACACAUUGGUGGAAAUGAUGAGCACAGAGGACAAAUAUGAGGAAACUAACUUUUACCGGAAAAUUGUGAACUUUCAUUCUUGGAAGCUAAAGAAAGCAAGGGGUAUCCUCAAUACUGGUAGCAGCCAUGAUUAAGCUGUGUGGCUGUUAAGUUGGCUUGAGUUGGGUUCUAGGUUUAAUCCCAAUCGAUCUGGCUGUCCAAAUGAAAGGGUUGUUCGCAUGAACACUGCAACCUCUCUGUUAUGUGGUGAGCACAAUGACACUCGGAGGAGCUUGGAGGAGAAGGCCACUGUCUUCUGGAAUGCAUGUCACACCGCUGAUGUUGAAGGGGUGGCUGCGACUUUGUGAAGUAUGUGGUUGUAGGGCAGGGCAAGUAUUAUUUUUUGGCUGCAUUUUUAUGUUGCACAGAUUUUGGUUCUGUAAAAUAUAACUUUACAACAAUGAUGCGUUUGGUGGUGGUGGUAACACAAUGCAUUGAAUUUCCUAUGAUAGGCAAUGCAUUGUUUUACCAUUUUUUGUCACCUUUUUGUUGGAAUCUGAUCUAACCCCCAACUAUUGACUAUUUGGUUGAAUUACAUGAUCUG